GAUCCCUUUACUUGACUGCUUACCCUUAUAUUUAUAGACGUUGAAUACAAGUUAUGGGCCCUAACCACCUACGCCCACUAGCCCACAAUCUCGCGAAGUUCGCUCACUAAGCGUAACUGUCGCUAACAUGUCCUUGAAUCUCGCCAGCACUUUCGGACACUUUCGGACCUGCUUCCACCUACCUUUUCACUUCUUCCUUUUAAUUCUAUCCAGGAUGUCAGCCAACCCGAUCUUGCUGCCCCUGUUCCCGAUCAUGAUACCACUCUUCCCGAUCAUGAUAGAGUCAACCAUCUGCCCAGGAUGU
rnacentral:lncRNA from 1 species